GGCUUAGAGUUUGAUCAUGGCUCAGGAUGAACGCUGGCGGCGUGCCUAACACAUGCAAGUCGAGCGAAGCACUUUGCUUGGAAUCUUUCGGGAGGACGAGUGAUUUGACUGAGCGGCGGACGGGUGAGUAACGCGUGGGCAACCUGCCUCACACAGGGGGAUAACAGUUAGAAAUGACUGCUAAUACCGCAUAAGACCACAGCACCGCAUGGUGCAGGGGUAAAAACUCCGGUGGUGUGAGAUGGGCCCGCGUCUGAUUAGGUAGUUGGCGGGGUAACGGCCCACCAAGCCGACGAUCAGUAGCUGACCUGAGAGGGUGACCGGCCACAUUGGGACUGAGACACGGCCCAAACUCCUACGGGAGGCAGCAGUGGGGAAUAUUGCACAAUGGGGGAAACCCUGAUGCAGCGACGCCGCGUGAGCGAAGAAGUAUUUCGGUAUGUAAAGCUCUAUCAGCAGGGAAGAAACUGACGGUACCUGACUAAGAAGCACCGGCUAAAUACGUGCCAGCAGCCGCGGUAAUACGUAUGGUGCAAGCGUUAUCCGGAUUUACUGGGUGUAAAGGGAGCGUAGACGGAUUUGCAAGUCUGAAGUGAAAGCCCGGGGCUCAACCCCGGGACUGCUUUGGAAACUGUAGGUCUUGAGUGCUGGAGAGGUAAGUG
rnacentral:rRNA from 1 species